UACGAAGGGGGCUAGCGUUGCUCGGAAUCACUGGGCGUAAAGGGUGCGUAGGCGGGGCUUUAAGUCAGGGGUGAAAUCCUGGAGCUCAACUCCAGAACUGCCUUUGAUACUGAAGAUCUUGAGUUCGGGAGAGGUGAGUGGAACUGCGAGUGUAGAGGUGAAAUUCGUAGAUAUUCGCAAGAACACCAGUGGCGAAGGCGGCUCACUGACCCGAUACUGACGCUGAGGCACGAAAGCGUGGGGAGCAAACAGG
rnacentral:rRNA from 1 species